rnacentral:rRNA from 1 species
AGCGAACGCUAGCGGCGGGCUUAACACAUGCAAGUCGAGCGCUCAGCUUCGGCUGGGAGCGGCGAACGGGUGCGUAACACGAAGGUAACGUACCCUCUGGUGGGGAAUAACUUCGGGAAACCGAAGCUAAUACCGCAUGCGCCCCUCGGGGUGAAAGACUUCGGUCGCCAGAGGAUCGGCCUGUGGCCCAUUAUUUAAUCCUAGUUGGUAGGGUAACGGCCUACCAAGGGUACGAUGGGUAGCUGGUCUGAGAGGAUGAUCAGCCACACUGGGACUGAGACACGGCCCAGACUCCUACGGGAGGCAGCAGUGGGGAAUAUUGGACAAUGGGCGAAAGCCUGAUCCAGCCACGCCGCGUGAGUGAUGAAGGCCUUCGGGUUGUAAAGCUCUGUCGGGAGGGAAGAAGAUCUGACGGUACCUCCCAAGGAAGCACCGGCUAACUCCGUGCCAGCCGCCGCAGUAAAAC